GUUAGUAGUGGUACUAGCUAGUAGUGGUACAAGCUGUAGCGGGGAACAGGUACCCAGGGAGGUCCUUCUUGAACCACUCGUACUCCCUGUAGAGGACCAGGUACUAGUUAGUAGUAGUACUGGUACUACUAGCUAGUAGUGGUACUAGUUAGUAGUGGUACUAGCUGUAGCGGGGAACAGGUACCCAGGGAGGUCCUUCUUGAACCACUCGUACUCCCUGUAGAGGACCAGGUACUAGUUAGUAGUAGUACUGGUACUACUAGCUAGUAGUGGUACUAGCUGUAGCGGGGAACAGGUACCCAGGGAGGUCCUUCUUGAACCACUCGUACUCCCUGUAGAGGACCAGGUAC